GGAUAGGCUUGCCGGCCAAUAGUACAGCCAAAGCUGGGGUUGGGUACCCAUACCUGUCCCAGUAUGCAGCUGGUUUCAAGAAUCCUGGGGGACCUUGCUUCCAUAUAUGGUCACCUUCCGAGGCACUGAAGGUUAAGACAUGACUGUGAACCUGGGGAAACCGUUCAAGCCAUCACAGCUAUCAAAAUGCCUGAAAGCAAAUCCUGAAUCCAUCA